rnacentral:lncRNA from 1 species
UGGCUUGGUCAUCGUGUUUGCGACCACGCUGCUGUGGGGCAACGGGAGGAGGUGGCUAUACUGGCAGGUGGACAAAUUUCUGCUAGAUGUUCUGCAGCCAUGGAUCCGCAGCCGUCGCCACUGAAAUGAAUUUUUAGUGUUUGCAUACUUCAAUGAUAUGUGCAAGAAAAUGAGCAGGCAUCACGCCAUGUUCCUGUUCAACAGCAUUAUUAUGUAUAUUUCAAGCUUGGGAAAUAAAUUUACAUGGUGCUUUCGCAUAGUUAGAUGCUAUAUUUUUGCAAGAGAAAAACUUAGUUGAGGAUCUCAUCUGGAAUUUCAUACCUACUACUAUACUGUGUACAGCUUAUUCGAUAUGAUUAAGAUAUGAAACUCUGCUUUGCCAGGAAAAAGAAUGACGACAGAAAAAAAAAGUACUGAAAAGUUAACAAAACUUUUACUUUUCUUAUAUAUAUACUAAAGAACAUGGUUAAUACCAGUUAAAUGUAAGGUUAACCAAAGCUACAUGGACAAGUCUAUGACAAUUGACAAAGUAUGAACUAACAGCGAUAAUACCUCUGCAUGUCUAAAUUGUAUCGGAACAUAUGCAUUCAGUCUCCUGUUUCCAGGUUAGUAACCAGUGUGUCAUGUAACAACCACAAUAAAACACGAGCAAUUAGUGAUUGCUAAGCACAUAGAUAUUGUACAAAGACAAGAAUUAUGAUUCAUCCUAUGUUUAUAAUAUUAUAGUAAUCAAGGUCAAAUCCAGGAGCAAGUAACUACCAGCAGCGACACACCGCGUCGUUCCAGAAGAGCCAGUGGUGGUGGCGCCGUGGCGGUCUGGCGGAGGCGGGUGCGGAACGAAAGGACCUUGCUUCGGCUGGGCGGCCGGCUGGGGUUGACGGCGGACGCGCGGAGCGUGACGAGGCCAUAACUGUGCGCCGCCGCUUAGGCGCGCUUGUUCCGCGCGGAUGCUGCCAGCACGCCGCGGAAGGACCCACCGCCCACCCAGCCCGCCGGCGUCCUCGUCGGCGAAGGUGACUAUCACGUGGCUGAGGCGGGGAUCCGAGACGAAGGGAAGAGGAGGAGGCGGAGAAUCACGAUACAGGAGAUCCGGGUGAAUGAGCUCGAACCUCGAAUGAAAC